GGCAGGCUAAUAGGUCCUUUAAUUCAACCUUUGCCUUAGCAAUGCAGUGUGCUUUUACAAACCCUCCACCUUCCCCAGCUCCACCUGUAUAGAUCUGCUACAGGUAAUUCAUGUAAGCAAUAUUGUACAGCAGCAGCAUGUCUUACAUGCUCACAGCAGUGUGUUGUGUAUGUGUUAGCAGUAGCAAGUCCCGUACUUACUCUGCAGCAGCAGCAGCAGCAAUAACCUACAGCGGCAGCAAUAAAAGCAGCAGCAGCAUAGCAGUUACUUCAUAGUUAUUUUUCUUGAACAUUAAUCAGUAGAUAAUUAAUAGUAGUUCUUCAGAAUUCAUUAGUUAUUGAUUAGCUAACUGUUACUUAACAAAAUCAUAAAAUUCUAUUACAUACUGAUUAGUUAACACAUCUUCCUUAGUAGUUAACAGUAGUGACUUAAGUGUUAAUGAAGAAUUACCUAUUAGUUCUUCAGUAAUUCCUUAUUAGUUAUGCAGUAAGUAAGAAACAGUAUUCUAAAGUGUUACCCAAAUGUCUUAUUCGGAUAAAAGUGUCUGCUAAAUUAAUAAAUGUACUUAUAAUCUGUGAGAAAUAUGUUUUAUCAUUCUAUAAAUCUAAGAUAUGAUGUUGAGCACUGCAUGUUUUCACUUUAUUCUUUUAAUGAUUUCCUGCAGAUGUACGAAAAAAUAUUUAAGAUUGAGGGGAAUCAAAGGUACAACCUUAAAAAACUAUCACAAAAAAAAAAAAAAUUCAACCACUUAUCUGAAUAUUAAGGGACACGUUCCUCUCACAUUAUAAUAUUUUUUCAAUUAACACAGAUUAUUUAAGUUAAAAAUGGAGCAAAGGUAUACUUAAAAUCCAUUGAAUGGAAGCAGAUUAGUGCCACCUGGUGGAAAAAAUAAAGAAAAUCAUCUGUAAUACUAUGGUAUAGCCACUAGAUGCCUGUAUGGGCUAUUUAUUCCCUAGUAACUGUGAACAGUGUUUUCGCUUUUAUUAGGUUUUGCAUUUGGAUAUAUAUUUAGAGGUGAUCAAAGACUAGUUUUUGCCAACAUCUGCAUUAUGAUAACAGUCAAACCAGAAGAGAGAGAAAGGUUUUUUGUUACCCAUAACCUAAUUUGAACAUCAAAAUUAAAUAAAAAUGUACCAAAAAUGACAGGAAUGCUUGAUUCUCAGGAAUGCUUGACAGUCUCAAACUGUGUGUGUGUGUGUGUGUGUGUGUGUGUGUGUGUGUGUGUGUGUGUCUGUUUCGGAUGUUUUAGAGUUUAACCCCUUCACUGCUGUGCUUUUUUCUGCAUUAUGGGUGCAUUAUUAAAUUUAUUUCACAAAUUCUCAAACCUAUGCUCUGUUACACUCGUAACAUAGGUGUGUGUAUGCGAGAGUAGGUGUGUCUGUUUUGCAAUCUUGAUAUUUUAGAGUUGCACGCCUUCACUGCUGUGUGCUUUUUUUCUGCAUUGUGGCUUAUUUGUAGAUUGUACACAAUUUUGUUUGUGUGAACACAUAGCAAAGGCCGCAAAAGUCACCAAGUUUUGUACCAUUGCGAGGAAGAUACGAUUUUUAAAAAUGUAUAAUACUUAUUUUUUUCGGUCUAAAAUGACCGAACAAAACCAGAGGGUUCAGUAAACUGAACAAGUUGCAUUUUUUGUUUUUGUUUAUGAACUUCUGUUCAUCACUAUAUACACAAAUAAAAACCUGUACAACAACUGUAGUGGGUGAUACUAUAUAGAAUAGAUCCUUUCAUUAGUUCAGUGACAUUCAAACAUCCAUUGUUGUCAUGUCAUAAAAUGAGGCAGUCGGUCCCAGUGAUCUAGUGCUUUUUAUUGAUUCCAGACAUUUACUUUUACAUUAAAGAAUAGAUAGACUCACUACAGAUAAACCCUUUAUCUCACUGCAAGAGUCCUGGAGGAUCAGUCUUUCCACUGGUGCUGAAAUCUUUCUGCUUGUAGUUCCGUCAGAAGUGUCAGAAACAUGAUGAGAACUCUGAAUGAAUUAUCUGAUCUGAGAGAGUCCAGGUUUGGUCAGCCGCCUCCCAGACACGGUCUGAACUUGCUGUGGUGGUUUGCUCAUGAAUGUGUUCAUGAAUGUGUUUGCUCAUGAAUGUGUUCAGAUCGACUCCAAUGGUCGUAUGAUUGCUCAGUGCAACCCUGCAAGUCAAGAUUUUGGCUUUUGUCUAUUCCAUAAUAGGGAGAGACUUCUUCCUUUCUCUAAUCUCCUAUACUAUGAGGUGGGAAACCUGAACACCACUGGCCCUCUGCCUGAAUAUGUCACUGAGGAUUACACUGGAUAUUUAGAUGACAGCAACAAAGAUCGCAUCAUUGUUUCCUUUGACUCAGGGUUGAAGAGAUUUGACAGCAUUUAUGUGACACAGCACUCAGAUGAGGAGAUCAGAAAUUUUGACCAGAAUCGCACUUACUGCAUUAGCAUUGAUCUUAUAAAGACCAUUAAAGAGUUGAACCGUGAAGAGUUCCUCAGAAAAACCUUGAAUGAUUCUAAACUUUUUUACAUUCAUACAUCUCAGUCAAUGCAGACUGAACGCUUUCAGCGUCAAAGGUUAUAUCAAUCCACUAAUGUCUGUGCAAAAUGUUGUGCUGUGCUGAUGUGUGUCAUUGUGCUGUUGCUCAUUAUUAUUGUCUUGUUUUAAAACAUGAAAAUAUAGUUUUUAUCCACUGGUGGUUUUGUUUUUGUUUGUUUUGUGCUAAUUUUGCAUUUGGGUGUUGCAGCUUGUCUCCAAUUGGAUAUAAGUUUAAUAGAUGUAUAAUAUUAUUGAAUGUUUUUUAGUUAUUAGACAGUCAUGAGGUUCAAGACUUCUGAGAUGGGAAUAUACGCACAUGCAUAUAAAUGAUCAAUAUUUACUGAUACGUUUAUGUUAUAAUACUCAAUCAAACAUAUUUAAUAGGUCUCCAUCUCACAACAUGCUUUAAAAUACAUGUAUGUUACAUGUUCCUUAUAUCUGUAUAAUUUGUAAACCAAUUGGGAUUAUGGAAAAUGUUGAAUUUCCAUAGUGCAUAGUGUGUUUGCUCAUAUUAUCUUAGACACACGCCCACUGCUGUCUGUCUGCUUCAGUUUCUGUUUCCUACAUAGUCAGCUGACCUCUCCCUAAUGGAAGCUUGUUUCAGCCACUGCCAGGGAAUAAAAAAAAGAAGCAAUUGCAA